rnacentral:rRNA from 1 species
GCAUAACGCGAAGAACCUUACCCACCUUUGACAUGUACGGAAUCCUUUAGAGAUAGAGGAGUGCUCGAAAGAGAGCCGUAACACAGGUGCUGCAUGGCUGUCGUCAGCUCGUGUCGUGAGAUGUUGGGUUAAGUCCCGCAACGAGCGCAACCCUUGCCAUUAGUUGCUACGAAAGGGCACUCUAAUGGGACUGCCGGUGACAAACCGGAGGAAGGUGGGGAUGACGUCAAGUCCUCAUGGCCCUUAUAGGUGGGGCUACACACGUCAUACAAUGGCUGGUACAAAGGGUUGCCAACCCGCGAGGGGGAGCUAAUCCCAUAAAGCCAGUCGUAGUCCGGAUCGCAGUCUGCAACUCGACUGCGUGAAGUCGGAAUCGCUAGUAAUCGUGGAUCAGAAUGUCACGGUGAAUACGUUCCCGGGUCUUGUACACACCG